ACGCGCCCCAGGCGCACCCAGAAACCCUUUGUGAACUUAUACCUUUUGUUGCCUCGGCGCUGCUGGUCUUCACAGGCCCUUUGCUUCACAGCAAAGAGACGGCACGCCGGCGGCCAAGUUAACUCUUGUUUUUACACUGAAACUCUGAGAAAAAACACAAAUGAAUCAAAACUUUCAACAACGGAUCUCUUGGUUCUGGCAUCGAUGAAGAACGCAGCGAAAUGCGAUAAGUAAUGUGAAUUGCAGAAUUCAGUGAAUCAUCGAAUCUUUGAACGCACAUUGCGCCCUCUGGUAUUCCGGAGGGCAUGCCUGUUCGAGCGUCAUUUCAACCCUCAAGCAUUGCUUGGUGUUGGGGCACUGCCUGUAAAAGGGCAGGCCCUGAAAUCUAGUGGCGAGCUCGCCAGGACCCCGAGCGCAGUAGUUAAACCCUCGCUUUGGAAGGCCCUGGCGGUGCCCUGCCGUUAAACCCCCAACUUUUGAAAAUUUGACCUCGGAUCAGGUAGGAAUACCCGCUGAACUUAAGCAUAUCAAUAAGCGG
rnacentral:rRNA from 1 species